CACAGGACUCUGCAAAGUCGCAAGACGACGUAUAGGGUCUGACGCCUGCCCGGUGCCGGAAGGUUAAGAGGAGAUGUCAGGGCAACCGAAGCAUCGAAUCGAAGCCCCGGUAAACGGCGGCCGUAACAAUAACGGUCCUAAGGUAGCGAAAUUCCUUGGCGGGUAAGUUCCGUCCUGCACGAAUGGCGUAACGACUUCCCCACUGUCUCGACCCGAGACUCGGCGAAAUCGAAUUCGGGGUGAAGAUGCCCCGUACCUGCGGAAAGACGGAAAGACCCCGUGAACCUUUACUGCAGCUUGGCACUGCUUUUCGGGCUUGUCUGUGUAGCAUAGGUGGGAGGCGUUGAAGCCGGGGCGCUAGCUCUGGUGGAGCCACCGUUGAAAUACCACCCUGAUGAGUCUGGAAAUCUAACCGUGGUCUGUCAUCCAGAUCCGGGACACUGCCUGGUGGGUAGUUUGACUGGGGC
rnacentral:rRNA from 1 species